CAACUACUCCCUCUGUCCCAAAUUUCUUGUCUUAGAUUUGUCUAGAUAUGGAUGUAUCUAAUACUAAAAUGUGACUUGAUAUAUCCGUAUCUAGACAAAUCUAAGACAAGAAUUUUGGGAUGGAGGGAGUACUUU
rnacentral:pre_miRNA from 1 species